CCCAACCUCCGCGCCCUCCGCAACGCCUCCCACGUCGGUCUCACCGACGCCCCACAUGUCAAGAUCUCCGAGGGCGACUUCGGACACAUCCUUGACGACGUGCCCCACCUCGCUGACUACUACGUUCCGGUGACCCAUUGCAGUUCAGAGAUGGUUUAUAUGAAUUGUUUAUGAUCUAGGCCGCUACCAAACGCCUCUGGAGAGCAGUAUACUAUUUCUGCAUUUACCAACACAUAUGGAGUAUUGGUUCUCCUGAUCCUAACUUCACAUUAGAUGGCCACUCAAAAGGCGUGAACCGUGUUGAUUACUUCACCGGUGGUGAUCGACCAUUUUUUAUUACUGGAUCUGAUGAUCAGACUGCAAA